rnacentral:rRNA from 1 species
AGCAGCCGCGGUAAUUCCAGCUCCAAUAGCGUAUAUUAAAGUUGUUGCAGUUAAAAAGCUCGUAGUUGAACUUCGGGAUCAAUUAGUUGGUCAUGCCUUGGUAUGUACUGAUUUUAUUGGUUCUCACCUUCUAAAGAACUAUAAUGUCAUUUAUUUGAUGUUAUAGGGAAUUAGGACUGUUACCUUGAAAAAUUAGAGUGUUUAAAGCAGGCUCACGCUUGAAUACAUUAGCAUGGAAUAAUGAAAUAGGACAUCGCAUUCUAUUUUGUUGGUUUCUAGGAUCGAUGUAAUGAUUAAUAGGGAUAGUUGGGGGCAUUAGUAUUCAAUUGUCAGAGGUGAAAUUCUUGGAUUUAUUGAAGACUAACUACUGCGAAAGCAUUUGCCAAGGAUGUUUUCAUUAAUCAAGAACGAAAGUUAGGGGAUCGAAGACGAUCAGAUACCGUCGUAGUCUUAACCAUAAACUAUGCCGACUAGGGAUCGGAUGAUGUUGAUUUUUAAU